rnacentral:rRNA from 1 species
UACAGAGGUCUCAAGCGUUGUUCGGAUUCAUUGGGCGUAAAGGGUGCGUAGGUGGUUAGGUAAGUCGGAUGUGAAAUCCCGGGGCUCAACCUCGGAACUGCAUUCGAUACUGCUUGACUAGAGUACUGGAGAGGAGAUUGGAAUUUACGGUGUAGCGGUGAAAUGCGUAGAUAUCGUAAGGAAGACCAGUGGGCGAAGGCGGGUCUCUGGACGUU